rnacentral:rRNA from 1 species
AUACGUAGGGUGCGAGCGUUGUCCGGAAUUACUGGGCGUAAAGAGCUCGUAGGUGGUUUGUCGCGUCGUCUGUGAAAUUCCGGGGCUUAACUCCGGGCGCGCAGGCGAUACGGGCAUAACUUGAGUACUGUAGGGGAGACUGGAAUUCCUGGUGUAGCGGUGAAAUGCGCAGAUAUCAGGAGGAACACCGGUGGCGAAGGCGGGUCUCUGGGCAGUAACUGACGCUGAGGAGCGAAAGCAUGGGUAGCGAACAGGAUUAGAUACCCUGGUAGUCCAUGCCGUAAACGGUGGGCGCUAGGUGUAGGGGUCUUCCACGACUUCUGUGCCGUAGCUAACGCAUUAAGCGCCCCGCCUGGGGAGUACGGCCGCAAGGCUAAAACUCAAAUGAAUUGACGGGG